rnacentral:tRNA from 1 species
AUGAGUAUAGCCAAAUUGGUAAGGCGUUGGAUUUUGACUCCAUCAAUAUAGGUUCGAGUCCUAUUACUCUAA